rnacentral:sRNA from 1 species
UUGACAGGCCUGGAGAUUGAUGCUUUUAUUUAGUUACAUAAUGGGUACAGCAGAAGCAGUGACAAUGCAACCCUCUCCAAAGUGCCUCAAUGCUGACCUGAUAGGACCAUCUCUAAAGGUGAUGGUAGUUGAUUUUCAAUGCCCAUUCAAUCAUUGGCUUCU